UACCUACGGGAGGCAGCAGUGAGGAAUAUUGGUCAAUGGGCUUACGCCUGAACCAGCCAAGUCGCGUGAGGGAAGACUGCCCUAUGGGUUGUAAACCUCUUUUGUCAGGGAGCAACGCCGGCUACGUGUAGCCGGACUGAGAGUACCUGAAGAAAAAGCAUCGGCUAACUCCGUGCCAGCAGCCGCGGUAAUACGUAGGUGGCAAGCGUUAUCCGGAAUGACUGGGCGUAAAGGGUGCGUAGGUGGUUUAGUAAGUUGGCGGUGUAAUUCCGGGGCUCAACCUCGGCGCUACCGCCAAAACUAUU
rnacentral:rRNA from 1 species